rnacentral:rRNA from 1 species
GACGAACGCUGGCGGCGUGCCUAACACAUGCAAGUCGAACGGGAUCCAUGGGAGCUUGCUCCCGGAAGAUCUAGUGGCGAACGGGUGAGUAACACGUGAGAAACCUGCCUCGGAGUCGGGGAUAACUCGGGGAAACCCGAGCUAAUACCGGAUACCUUCCUCGGACCGCAUGGUCCGUUGAAGAAAGAUUCAUCGCUCCGAGAUGGUCUCGCGGCCUAUCAGCUAGUUGGUGGGGUAACGGCCCACCAAGGCUACGACGGGUAGCUGGUUUGAGAGAAUGAUCAGCCACACUGGGACUGAGACACGGCCCAGACUCCUACGGGAGGCAGCAGUGGGGAAUCUUGCGCAAUGGGCGAAAGCCUGACGCAGCAACGCCGCGUGCGGGAAGAAGGCCUUUGGGUUGUAAACCGCUUUCAGCAGGGACGAAACUGACGGUACCUGCAGAAGAAGGUCCGGCUAACUACGUG